rnacentral:rRNA from 1 species
GUCUACGGCCAUACCACCCUGAACACGCCCGAUCUCGGAAGCUAAGCAGGCUUGGGACUAGUUAGUACUUGGAUGGGAAAAUAGGGAAAGUAUGGA